rnacentral:misc_RNA from 1 species
GAUGAAGAACGUAGCGAAAUGCGAUAAGUAGUGUGAAUUGCAGAAUUCAGUGAAUCAUCGAAUCUUUGAACGCACAUUGCGCCCCUUGGUAUUCCAUGGGGCAUGCCUGUUCGAGCGUCAUUUGUACCCUCAAGCUCUGCUUGGUGUUGGGUGUUUGUCUCGCCUCUGCGUGUAGACUCGCCUCAAAACAAUUGGCAGCCGGCGUAUUGAUUUCGGAGCGCAGUACAUCUCGCGCUUUGCACUCAUAACGACGACGUCCAAAAGUACAUUUUUACACUCUUGACCUCGGAUCAGGUAGGGAUACCCGCUGAACUUAAGCAUAUCAAUAAGCGGAGGA